rnacentral:rRNA from 1 species
UACGGAGGGGACUAGCGUUGUUCGGAAUUACUGGGCGUAAAGCGCACGUAGGCGGAUUUGUAAGUCAGGGGUGAAAUCCCGAGGCUCAACCUCGGAACUGCCUUUGAUACUGCAAAUCUCGAGUCCGGAAGAGGUGAGUGGAAUUCCUAGUGUAGAGGUGAAAUUCGUAGAUAUUCGCAAGAACACCAGUGGCGAAGGCGGCUCACUGGUCCGGUUCUGACGCUGAGGCGCGAAAGCGUGGGGAGCAAACAGG